ensembl:lncRNA
AAAGAAGUAAAUAAGUCCUAAAUUAGCAACAGCCUCCUUGGGUGCUGAGUACUGCUGGCAAUGAUCCCUGGUUGUAUACCAUCACUCUAGGAUUUUCACUGCUGGAUCUCAGGCAUCUUUCUGUCUUAUCGAAAGCUGAUAGAAGCCUUAUACUGAAAUUCUAUUCCAUUGUGGCUUUACCAGGACUUCUUUUUCACAUAAAUAUCAAGACGCAAAGAAAGAAAAACUUGGGGAUCACCAAGCUAGCCAAGGCACCAUGGCUGGAGGAGAAUAAUGAGUGUUCCCAGUGAUAUUCAAUUCCAGGAUUCCCCACUGCCUCAAGUGGAAUUAUUUGCCCUUUGAAAAUGUUCCUUUUUCCUUGACUAUAAAAGAUGUCUCAAGACAUGUUGGAACAGGUUGCCCAGAGAGGUGGUGGAUGCUCCAUCCCUUCAGACGUUCAAGGUCAAGCUGGACAGGGUUCUGAGCAACCUGAUGGAGCUGUAGACGUCCCUGUUCAUAGAGGGAAUUUAGCCUCGAUGACCUUUAAUGGCUCCUUCCAACUCAAGCAAUCCUGUGAUAUAAUACACCAAUGGCUUGAUUGAUAUGACUGAAAACUACCUGCAACAAUACAACAGGAGGACAGUAGCUCUUUUAAAGGAAAAGAGAGAUGACAAGAUAAUCCAUUCCCAGAAUGAAUGCCCAGAUAUCAAGCACUAUAUGUGAGAGCUGAAUAUUCAUAACCAUUUGCUUGAAGGCAAACAGUCUGCAGACUUGUUAGAGAAAACACUUGUCAGAAAAUGGUGUGAUGUGGGUUCCUUCUUGCGAAUAGGAUCAUGAGCAGGUACUUCACAUAUCCUGUAAUAAACAGGAUAUAUUUUUGCUCUUGUGCAAGACUCUUUCUAAUUAUUAUUACUGUGUUGUUUUUUUUUAAAUUUCAUUUACUUACAAUUUGUCUCUGUGUGAAGUCAUAACAUUUCAUGUCAAUUCUGUAUUAGCAGUUUAAAUCAAAUAAGAAAACCAGUAUAAGUAAAGCUAACUACAGUCACUAAAAUCAGUGGUAACAAUCUGGGGACCACAUUGAGAUGGGGAGAAAGGUGUUCCUGAAGUGUUGAACUGGGUUCUGCUCCCAGAGCUGAGCACUAGACUUCAGAGAUGCAUGAAUUCUUCCAAAAGAGGGCAGAAGCAGCAUUUACAGAGUCCCCUUGACAAAUGCAUUACCUUCCCCCAUUUGCAGUCCUCAGUCUCCCAGCAUUUCUGGGAGCAUUUCUGGCUCUACAAAAGAAACUGUAAGAACCAGCCAGGAAACUUCACAAAUACUACAACACCUACACCACACUGCAGGCUGCAAAACACGUUAAAAUCCUAAGUCAUCUUCCUGAAAACAAACUCCAGUAGGGAAAGUACAGACUUCAAAAUGAGUGGAAUGCCAAAAGUUAUUUUCAGCCCCUAAUAUUCUUAUUGUUUCAUUAUGCUUUCAUUUAUCAUGGUUUAAUAACAGUUUAAUUAGAAGUCUAAGGAAGCGUGUGAGUUUGUGUAUAGCCCAAGGUAAAAGACAAAGAAAUAAAAAGUAGUGGCCAGAAGGGUAUGAUGUUAUGUAGCCACAACUAACCAAUGUAAAAAAUUUUCAGCAUUCCAGGCAAUAAGAUCAGACCCAAUGUGUCACCUUACCCCAAGGGAGUGAAAUCAUUAGAAAAAAAGGUUGGAAGGGUCCACAGGAGGUAAUUUGGUCCUGCUCCCUGUCCUAAGGCUGGAUCAUGUCUACCUGCGUCAUUCCUGACAGAUGUUUGUCCAACCUGCCAUAAAAUACCUACACAUUAUCAGCACUGCCAGGUACCCAGGCAGACUUCUAUGCAUGUUUGGCACUGCCAAAAAAGUCUCAUUGAAUUGACAGUUGAAGAAAGUAUGAGAGAAAAAUAAAUAUAUAUAUUCUUACAGUACAAGAGAAGUUGUAUUGAUCUCAUGUUAAUAUCUCUCUGGGCAAAGAGGUCAUUCCAGUUGUUUGAUUUUUUCUUCAUACAAUUUCACAUAGAACAUAUGCAACAUGAUCCACAGGCUAUCCAAACUGACCUGUGGCAGGUAAAUACUGAAAAUGAAAUACAUAAAUAUGAAAUAGUUCAGUGGACAGACUAAGAAAUGUUGAGCUUCAAUUGGAGGACAUUGCCAAGAUCGACAUCAGUAUUUUUAAGAUUCAUACUUAUGCAGUUGAAGUAUCGAGAUAACAAUACAUCAUGUUUCAUCAAAAUGUCUGUCAUACAAACUCCCUUCCAAGAGGCAGAUCAAUAUUUCUAUAGUAGUUCAUAAUAAAUAAAUAAAUAAUAAGGAUAGCUACCAUAAAGCUUUGUGAAUGUUGAAUUUGAUGGUAUUAGAUUAGUUUGUUCUAGGUUCUAGGAAGAAUCCAUUGAGCUGAUGUGAGGGCUAAACCAUACGUAGACCAGUCUAUAUGCUGAGAAAUUUGAAAUGUUCACAGAAAAAUAAUGUUCUGAAGAAGAAGAAAAAGUUUAAAUUAUCUGGAAAAAAAA